rnacentral:lncRNA from 1 species
UUGAGACGCCCUGAUCUGGAUAACAUAGACUAGAAAGCAUCUAUCACUUUCUGGUAGAAGUGUGAAUAUGCCAGAAACCAGCCAAAAUGUCAACAAGAGAAGAAGAAAUGGGCUUGGAAAUUUCACCGAAUAGUUAAUCAGUUGUGAGUAAUUGUUAAUGGAAAUAGUUAAAUAAUAUCUUACAAUGUGUUUUAUUAAUGUGAGAUUAAUUUAGAUACAUUAAAAUCCCCCCUUUUGGUGUACAGUUCUGUGAAUUUUGAAAAAUGCAUACAGCUGUAUAAUCACAAUCAUGAUUCAAAAAUUUCCCUUGUGUCCCUUUGUAGUUAGAACUUCCCAGCUCCCCUCCCACCAGCCACUGGUCUGAUUUAUGUCCUUGUGGUUUUUUAUUUUCUAGAAUAUCUUAUAAAUGGAUUCAAA